GCGUAAACAUCCGCUAAGAACAAAUUUUACGAAACUCGACCCCUAAGGGGAUAAAACGGGGGUUGGAAGUUUGUACGAAAGUCCUAUGUUUUUGAAGUAAGAGACUUGAAAUUUAAAGUGUAUGCUCUAUAGAUGGUGAGGAGGUGUCCAAAUAAUGUAUAUUUAGAAAUCAACUCCUUUUUGGGGUUAAAACGGGGGUUCGUAGGUUGACUCACUCAUCACGAAAUCUCCGA
rnacentral:misc_RNA from 1 species